GAUGAACGCUGGCGGCGUGCCUAAUACAUGCAAGUCGAGCGAACAGAUGAGGCUCUUGCUCCUCUGACGUUAGCGGCGGACGGGUGAGUAACACGUGGAUCACCUACCUAUAAGACUGGUAUCACUUCGGGACACCGGAGCUAAUACCGGAUAAUAUCUUGCACCGCAUGGUUCAAUAGUGAAAUACGGUUUUUCUGUCACUUCUAGCUGGAUCCGCGCCGCAUUAGCUAGUUGUUAAGGUCAAGGCUUACCAAGGCAACGAUGCGUAGCCGACGUGAGAGGGUGAUAGGCCACACGGGAACGGAGACACGGACAAGACGACUACGGGAGGCAGCAGAAGGGAAUGGGAGGCAAUGGGCGAAAGCAUGACGGAGUAACGCGGAGUGAGUGAUGAAGGUCUUCGGAGCGUAAAAAUCGGUUAUGAGGGAAGAACAAAUGUGGAAGUAACUAUGCAGGGCUUGACGGUAACGAAUAAGAAAGCCACGGCUAACUACGUG
rnacentral:rRNA from 1 species